UAGGCGUACGGGUGAGUAACACGUGGAUAAUCUACCUUGGAGUGGGGAAGUAAACGCUGGGAAACCGGCGCUAAUACCGCAUAAUCCCGAGAGGGCAAAGGAGCUUUGUGAAAGCAAAGCAUCGCUUUAGGAGGAGUCCGCGGCCGAUUAGCUAGUUGGCAGGGUAAAAGCCUACCAAGGCAACGAUCGGUAGCCGGCCUGAGAGGGCACACGGCCACACUGGCACUGAAACACGGGCCAG
rnacentral:rRNA from 1 species